rnacentral:sRNA from 1 species
CAGAGGCGGCGUGGAGAGCGCUGGGAGCGGUUGCGGCGUGCGGGGAGCUGAGGUAUAGCUGUGACUUCUGCCCUGCCAGGCCGCGCACGAGCUGGCUGACCCGGUUUGUAAAAAUGGAAUUUCAAGCAGUAGUGAUGGCAGUAGGUGGAGGAUCUCGGAUGACAGACCUAACUUCCAGCAUUCCCAAACCUCUGCUUCCAGUUGGGAACAAACCUUUAAUUUGGUACCCAUUGAACCUGCUUGAGCGUGUUGGAUUUGAAGAAGUCAUUGUGGUUACAACCAGGGAUGUUCAAAAGGCUCUAUGUGCAGAAUUCAAGAUGAAAAUGAAGCCAGAUAUUGUGUGUAUUCCUGAUGAUGCUGACAUGGGAACUGCAGAUUCUUUGCGCUACAUAUAUCCAAAACUUAAGACAGAUGUGCUGGUGCUGAGCUGUGAUCUGAUAACAGACGUUGCCUUACAUGAGGUUGUGGACCUGUUUAGAGCUUAUGAUGCAUCACUUGCUAUGUUGAUGAGAAAAGGCCAAGAUAGCUUAGAACCUGUUCCCGGUCAAAAGGGGAAAAAAAAAGCAGAUGGAGACUCGCUCUGUUGCCAAGCUGGAGUGCAGUGGCGCCAUCUCGGCUCACUCCAACCUCCACCUCCCGGGUUCAAGCGCUUCACCUGCCUCAGCCUCCUGAGUAGCUGGGACUACAUGCACAUGCCACCAUACC